ACACAUGCAAGUCGAACGGUAACAGAGCUAGCUUGCUAGUUGCUGACGAGUGGCGGACGGGUGAGUAAUACUUAGGGAUCUGCCUCUGUGUGGGGGAUAACUAUUGGAAACGAUAGCUAAUACCGCAUGAUGUCUACGGACCAAAGAGGGCUUUUAGCUCUCGCGCAGAGAGGAACCUAAGCGAGAUUAGCUAGUUGGUGAGGUAAAGGCUCACCAAGGCGACGAUCUCUAGCUGUUCUGAGAGGAAGAUCAGCCACACUGGAACUGAGACACGGUCCAGACUCCUACGGGAGGCAGCAGUGGGGAAUAUUGCACAAUGGGGGGAACCCUGAUGCAGCCAUGCCGCGUGUGUGAAGAAGGCCUUCGGGUUGUAAAGCACUUUCAGUUGUGAGGAAAGGUUAGUAGUUAAUACCUGCUAGCUGUGACGUUAACAACAGAAGAAGCACCGGCUAACUCCGUGCCAGCAGCCGCGGUAAUACGGAGGGUGCGAGCGUUAAUCGGAAUUACUGGGCGUAAAGCGCACGCAGGCGGUCUGUUAAGCUAGAUGUGAAAGCCCCGCGCUCAACGUGGGAGGGUCAUUUAGAACUGGCAGACUAGAGUCUUGGAGAGGGGAGUGGAAUUCCAGGUGUAGCGGUGAAAUGCGUAGAGAUCUGGAGGAACAUCAAUGGCGAAGGCAACUCCCUGGCCAAAGACUGACGCUCAUGUGCGAAAGUGUGGGUAGCGAACAGGAUUAGAUACCCUGGUAGUCCACACCGUAAACGCUGUCUACUAGCUGUUUGUGGAUUUAAUCCGUGAGUAGCGAAGCUAACGCGAUAAGUAGACCGCCUGGGGAGUACGGCCGCAAGGUUAAAAC
rnacentral:rRNA from 1 species